rnacentral:lncRNA from 1 species
UUUUACCAUUUGAUAAAUCUGCAAGUGGUUGAAGUCUGUAACUAUUUUGAUAAGGAUGAACAUUAAAGCUAUUACCUUUUUUUCUAUUCAACACUUUACCUCGAAAGUUAAAAAAAGAACAACUAAUAACGUGUCUAAAUAAGUGAGAAAGAUUCAGCUCUGUGAAUCGGUCUAGUGCACUUCAGGCAGACCGACUCUAGUUAGCCAAUAAUAUGGAUAUGCAACGUUUAAACCAAAAUGUUAUCCACCAAACAAAAAAUCAUAGCAAAACCAGCACAUUUCAUGUGUAAUUUGGGAUUGAACGAUAACCAACAUUUUGUGCAACAGAACUUUUUAAGUUCUUUAUAAACAACGCA